UUUUUUUUUAGCCAUGAAGUACUGACCAUUUCUUAAAUAUUCAUUAGCUACUGCGAUGGUGAGCAAAAAAUACCCAUAGGAGUAAAUACCACGCCACAGACGGCAUACUGUGAUAUUGUUUGAUAUCUGGUAGAUGAUAAAUGACUGUAAACAAAAUAUGUAAGUAAAUGUUUCCCUCCUAGAGAAUGAUUGUACUCACUGUUAGCAUUUGUGUUGUUUCAGCUAAUGUUUAUGGUAAAUAACCAGUCCGGCAGUGUUGUACCUAAAAUCACAGCCUCGUACUGUGCUCCUGGUUCUAGUUGUGGCUUGAAAAUUAUUAUUAUUUAAUUUUUUUUCCAGUUAUAAUUAUUUACUUCUCUAAGAAGAUGUUGUGCCUAAUCAGUGAUGAUGCAUAGGUUUUCUGUACAGUAUUUUCUUUUCUGAAAUGACUGCACUGUCGUUAUGAUAAUCAUAUUUUGACAGAUUUUAUUUUUCAGCUAGAUCAGGAUUUGUGGUUGUACGUGUAAAGUGUUAAAUGUGCUAUGCUAAGCGGGUGGACCGUGCAUGCCCCGUGCUAAUAGCUUUAUUGCCUGAAUUGUGAGAAAUUUGCAGAAGACUCGACACGUCCAAAGACGUUGAGCCAAAGUCUGCUCAAGCGUUUGCAGUGUCUUCUCAGUGGAUAAAAAAGGUUUUAUUCUUCAGGAAUUCAAAAGACGAGGAGACUGGAAUGACGAUUUGUUUGUUUCUGUGUAUGUGUGUGUGUGUGCGCGCGUGUGUGAGACAGAUGCCGACUGCCUCAGCACAGCUGUCCUAUCAGGAUUAGAACCGAGUCGAUGACUCCCAGUGGCACUCAAGCAUUUUCACGUCAUUUAUGGCAGUGGCCCUACGUCAUCUAGGAGUCUGCAGUCAUUCUGCUAAUGUUGUAAAGGUAAUGCAACUCUUUAUGGUCAAAUUGUGUAAUUGGUGUGACUGUAGUAGUCUUGGCUUACCCCAUGUGUUAUUGUCUAUGCCUGUCUGGACAGCUGAGAUCCAGAGUGAAUUUUCCUGCUGUGGUAUCAUUUUGCACGUCUGCACUCCUCUUUGAUUUUAAAGCAUGGAGUUAUUUAAAAACUAUGCUGUGGCUCCAGUGGAGCAGGCCGAGGGCUUUGAAACUGAUGCCAGAGCAAUUGAUGGAUUUUAAUACUUUGUAUGGACACACUGCAGCCAGUAUUUGCAGCCUUUUUGGGCUUAAAAAUGUGUUUGACAUCAUCCUUCUUUCACCAGUUAUUAUAAGGUUGAACUUCUCUUCUUGGCCAAGCAGUUAAUAAUAGCACACUAAGUGAAAAACUCUUUCAUUUUGCUUGCUAUACGUUGAAGAAGCUCAACGGAAUUGACAACGUGACACUAUUUGAGCAACGGUAUGUUUUCUUUUAUUCCUCCAGGUUAAGCAGAGGAUCUAAAAGAUCUGGGCUCUUUUUGGAAAUUUGGUUUAGUUUUUUCAAACACAGAUUCAGCUGUUGUCAGUCUAGCCACACUGCAGUCUUGUGUUAAAUUAAAUUUUCCAUUAGUUCUGUCAGGGCAGUUAUAGAUAAAGACAUUAAACUCAGCAUCCACAAUUGCUUUAGCUGCUAAAGUGCUUCCUCUCGCCUCCUGCUUCUCCUUUAUCCUCAGUGACUUUCCAGCAUCAUGCUGGCUGGAUGGAAAUGUUCAGUUUGUGCCAAGACACACGCACAUACACACACACACAUAUUAUAUGCACACAAUACCCUCACUCGGGACAGCUCCAUAAAACCAGCACCACAGCAACGGGCCAGCCUUGGAGGCAGUCAAGGAAAAGUAAGCUAAGAUUCCUUGAACCUCUUGGACAAGUUGAACCAAUUCUUUUCAUAUUCCAUGUACUGUACGUACAGACCAUCCACCAUCCUUUGGAUGAGUAUUUCAGACAUGGUUUAUUAUGCAGUACGGCCACAGUAUAGACAUGAGGUCAUUUGACGUCUCAUUCCUUCUUCAACAUACGUCUGUUGUACUGCUGUGCUGAAUGCCAAAGAGACCGCUCUGCUAGUUUGUGGUUUUCUGUCCAAAGUAGCUGAGCCAUAUAGGAAAAAAAAAAAACUAUAAAGCGAAGAAUAAACCUGUAAAACACAUUAGAUCACAUUUGAGUAUGUCCUGAAACUUCACUCUACUUCCUUAGGGGUUAACACUGGGUGGAACCAGUCUGAAAACUGUAUCAUCCACUUUUUUCUUUUUUUUUUUUUUACCUCCUGUUUAAUGCAAAUUCUUAAAGCGCACACGACAAAAUGAGGAAGAAGUCCAAGAGUGAAGCACAGGAAGUUUCUCAAGCAAAUCCAUUUAAAGUGAUGUCUGGGAAAAUGCAGGUUGUUUUUUAACAUCUGCUAAGUUUCUCAGUGGAUGUGACAUUUCCAUGCCAAGAAUUUUUGGUGUAAACUGACCUGGACUAGGUUUUGUAUUUUCCUUUUUGAGCAACUUUCUCCUUGCUUCCACAGCCCAGAGAAAAGUCAAUUUUAUUUGUAUUACCCAAAGUCAGAAAACAUAUUUGUCUCAGAGGACUUGCUAUUAUUAGAUGGCUACAAACAUUUCUUAUUUUUUGGUCUAUGGACGGGGUUAGCUGCUAACCUUCGAUGCAUCGUUAAGGUCAGGGAUGUUAAACAAAGACUGAAAGUAUUGGCGAAGGAGAGGAAGAGACACUCGACAGGGAGGCAGUCGGUGAGACUGGUUUUCAUAAAUGUGUGUUUCCUCCUUUUGUGAAGUCCAGGAUUUAUGGUUUUGGUGAGUGUGUGUCCAGGCGUCAGGUGCCAGGCGCCCCGCCGCUAUUCUGGGCACAGGAGACACGUUGCGAUUACAGAGACGAGUGGACAUCGUCAUGGUUGUCAUGGCGAUCGGACUCACCAGGUUUCAGCUUCAGUGACCACAUAAAACAGUUUUAGUGCCGUUUUGUGAUUCAGCAGUGCUGGUUGAUCCAAGGUGGUGAUCACAGUAGUGAGUUCUGAGCUCUUAAUGGAAACUAUUAUGAUGCAUCUCCCUUAUGUUUUCAAAUGAGAGAGACUUUGGCUGACGAUCUGGACUAGAGUGGAGUAAAGGCGCCCUGUAUGAGAUGAUGAUAAAGGAUCUCAGUGGUGUAAAUGUGUGAAUGUGAGUUUCAAUAGUCUAACGUUGGUUACAACAGGAGUAGCAGUGGAAAAACCUUAGUGAGGUGAUGGACGAGCAAACACAGUACAGGAACUUCACAUGAAUCUAAAUCUCACUCAGUGUACCUUUUAACUACACUGUUAGGUUGUGCACGUCUUAGUUUUUUUUCUAAGUAAGAUCAGAAAAAAAAAUUCAUCAUUUGAAAUGGCACUGUGAUUUUUCAGUUUAAAUGUCACAAUUAACAUAGAUGACAGUGGAGAUUAUAAUCCUGUUAAGAUGGAGGCAGAGAAGUGAAGUGAACAGUGUAGCACACACUGAUGUCCUGCUGUUUUCUUCUUUUCUCUCACGUGAACAAACACACACACAGAAACACAAGUAUUCUUGUAAGGACACUUUAUUUCUGCCUACAGGGCGUAGUUUUAUCUGGACCUUUAACCAACUACAGCUCAAACUUGCAUCCUAACUGGACUCUGAACUGGGCUUCUGCUUCAGUGGAACCAGAUUUGUGUCCAAUAUGGUGGACUUAUUUAUAAGAUAUAGCAAGAGUAGCAGAAUUGCUCCUUUAUUGUUGUAACCUGGCAUCCCGCCCACUCUGAAAAAGCAGGUUUCCCACACAGUAAAACAUUUUCUUGAUUUCCUUUUGGGUUUGCUUCACAUCCCAAACAGCUUAGAACUAGAACAAACCCUACACAGUGUACUACACAGGCUCCGACCUGAUGCCAAAAAUGUAACCCAGGCAGCAGGAAGCUGAAAGGAUUGGAACAGAAAAGACUGCAGUGCACUGGAUCGGUCCAAUCAAUAUUCUGCUUCAGUGAGUAGAAGAAGAGUUAUUUUUUGGUGUGCUUUAUUAUUACUGUACUAUAUAUAUUUUUAAUCUCUUGUUAUUCUGUUACGCAGUGUGCUCAGAGAAAUGUGUUAUCUGUACAGUUGUACAGCUGAAAUGUUCAACAGAUGAUUAUAUUCAUUGAUGUGAAGAGUUAUAUUGUACACUACGUCAAUUAUACAAGCCUACUCAAUGAUUAAAAGUAUUUUAAAUGGUACAGCAUUCUCAUCCUAUGCUUUUAUUCUUCAUAUUAGAUAAGGAGGUGGUCACUGUGCUCAAACAUCUUCAUUAUUUUUGGGAAAAAUCCCUGUAGCAUUAGACGAUUUCCCUUGGGAGAAAGAGAACUAUAAACUGGACUCGACCUUCCACUUUCACCUUCGCUGGUUUAUUAUCUGUUCUGAGUGCUUUAGUCGAACUGGAUGUAGAUCUCCAAUCAAUACUUGGUCCAGCACUAACAAAAUGUUUAUCAAUGGGGGUACAUUAGCAGUCUGAACACUUAGUAGCCGUUUCCUGGAACGACACGACUGCUGGUCUGCUCCGUAGACGACGGGAGACAGAGAAGAUGUUGCACAUACACAGAGCUCGUGAAAAUGUAUACAAGAAGACAUGAAAAACUUCAGUCACCUGUGAAAGAGUUGGUAUAUAGCUUCUCUGAUGGCGUGGCAAACUGUCCAAGUGUACCCCAACCUCACCAUAGGACUGCUGGGAUUGGCUUCAGCCCCACACAAUCCUGAAAAACAAAAUUGGUAGAUGGUGAUUGGGCCUUGCUCUAUCCUAGAACAAGACAGACCCCAAAGCCAAGAGUGAAGAAAAGUGAGAGGACAAAGAAAGAACAAACGAAUGGAAGUGAGAAAGACAGACAGAAAGCAGGGAAGGGAUGAAGAAAAAGAGAGGGAAGGAGCAGAAAAGGGAAAGGAGGACUACAGAAAGAAAGAAAGAAAGAAAGAAAGA